UGGUGGAAGGGGCAUGGUGGAAGGUGGUCUGGUGAAAGAUGGUCUGGUAGAAGGUGGUCUGGUGGAAGGGGGCAUGGUGGAAGGGGCAUGGUGGAAGAUGGUCUGGUAGAAGGGGCAUGGUGGAAGGUGGUCUGGUGGAAGAUGGUCUGGUAGAAGGUGGUCUGGUGGAAGAUGGUCUGGUAGAAGGGGCAUGGUGGAAGGUGGUCUGGUGGAAGGGGCAUGGUGGAAGGUGGUCUGGUGGAAGAUGGUCUGGUAGAAGGUGGUCUGGAUUAGACCUCGGGACUGAGCUACGCUGCGUUUGGGUUACAUGUUUAUAUAAGAAUAAGAUGCAUGUGAAUUGAUUCUGCUCUGUGAUUAUUUUCUGCCUCAUCUUGUGUCUCCUGAUCGUUUUGGUGGAAACACCUUCAGUCACAACCUUUGUUGGUGUCUGUUAACGUUUGGUUUAAACACUCAUACACAGGUGUAUAAAUGACCUCUGCAGGACCAGGAUGUCAGCACCUCUAAAUGAGCCUGUUGGGAAUCCUGCUAUUAUCAUUACGCAGUGUACUGCUGUCCUGUUGUAAUUGCGUUAAAACAGGAAACGAUGCACUCAGCUGUAUUUUCUCCACCAAACUGAAAAGCAACUCAAUGUCUGGGAGGAAAGUCCAAC
ensembl:lncRNA